rnacentral:rRNA from 1 species
CAGUAGCCGCGGUAAAACGAAGGGGGCUAGCGUUGUUCGGAAUUACUGGGCGUAAAGCGCACGUAGGCGGAUAUUUAAGUCAGGGGUGAAAUCCCAGAGCUCAACUCUGGAACUGCCUUUGAUGCUGGGUAUCUUGAGUAUGGAAGAGGUGAGUGGAAUUCCGAGUGUAGAGGUGAAAUUCGUAGAUAUUCGGAGGAACACCAGUGGCGAGGCGGCUCACUGGUCCAUUACUGACGCUGAGGUGCGAAAGCGUGGGGAGCAAACAGGAUUAGAUACCCCCGUAGUCCCUGUCUCUUAUACC